rnacentral:tRNA from 1 species
GCGAGAGUGGCGGAAUUGGCAGACGCGCUAGAUUUAGGAUCUAGUGGGCAAAACCCGUGGGGGUUCGAGUCCCCCCCCUCGCA